ensembl:lncRNA
AAUUUGCAUACAUUUCUAGUACAAAAAUAUUAACACUGGAUGAAGUCCGUUUCAAAAUUCUUGUCUAACUUUUUUGACAUAUUAGAGUCAAAUGUUUUUCCAGAGGGAAUUCUGGGUAUCUUUUUUUUGUCACUCCAUAAUUCUGAAAAUACUUUGAACAGCUAGAAAACAAUAUAUUUUCACCAUUUUGGGGGGAAUAAAAUGUUGUAUAUAAUCAAGAAAAUUAUAUAUGAACAAAUCCCUCUGUAAAAUCCUUCAGAAUAUAGACAGGAAUACAAAUGUAAAGUUUAGUGUGUGUAAGUCCCAUUGAAGUGGAGAUUUAUGGCUCAGAGUUGGAGAAAAAACUCAUUUUGAGAAACCAGCCUUUAAAAAUAUGUAUUGUAAUUGAAAUCUAUUGACACAAAUAGAUAAAGUGCUAUAAAAGAAACACUUAACAGUGUCUUUUGGAUUUUUUCUUUCCAUAAGUCUGAAAAAAAACUUUAUGAAAAGCCAAAAAGCCCAAAAUCUAAAAUUUGACAGGUGCAUGAAAAAAACUGUGUUUUUGCCUGCAGUGUCUCCCUUUAAAAAGCAUUGCAAGAUCUCCUAACUGAGAUCACAUGAUCACAAACGGAGAUCACUUCAGUGAAGUGACCAUGGCAUGUUCCCUUAGCUAACGGACUUCUGGAAGGGCCCUUCAUUGAAGAUGAAAAAGAGGAGGAUGAUGACGGUCCAGCGCAUACAAAGAGAAAGAAACCAAGAGAAGUGUCAUCGCAGAAGAAAUGGCAGAAGUUCCUCAGACACCUGUGAACACCGAGCAGUGCACAUCAUCUUCAUUAUACUUCUCUGACUGGAAUAGCAAGGAACAGUUAGAGUCCAUGAGAAAGUGAGUUCAACUACACGUCUACACUGACCUUGAUUAUACUUUAUAAUAUAAUGUUUUCUGCAACACCUGGGUGUCUUAACUGAAGAGACAAACUGACUCAACAGGAAGCUGUGGAUCUAUUGAAUGUGUAUUUUUCAAGCAUUUUAUUGUGGCAUUCACUGUUAUUUUUCUGCACAGUGAUGACUAGUGAAAAGUGUUUUGACUAAUUUGCUUAAAGUAUAACCCAGUUAACCCAGAAUUCUGUCAUCAUUUACAUUAUUACAUCAAUUCCCCCUCUUUUUACUUUUUUAAACCCCUGACUUCUUGUUUUUCUGCAGAACUCAAAAGAAGAUACUUUGAAGAAUGCUGGUAAUCAAAACCAAUACAGUAGGUUUGUCAUUGUAGACGACAUGAAGGGAGUGAAUGAUUUUUAUUUUGGGGUAAAUUAUAUUUUUAAUAAGGAUUACAAACAAUAAAGCUUUACCGAAAAUUUAUAAUACA